GAUGAACGCUGGCGGCGUGCCUAAUACAUGCAAGUCGAGCGAACAGACGAGGAGCUUGCUCCUCUGACGUUAGCGGCGGACGGGUGAGUAACACGUGGAUAACCUACCUAUAAGACUGGGAUAACUUCGGGAAACCGGAGCUAAUACCGGAUAAUAUAUUGAACCGCAUGGUUCAAUAGUGAAAGACGGUUUUGCUGUCACUUAUAGAUGGAUCCGCGCCGCAUUAGCUAGAUGGUAAGGUAACGGCUUACCAAGGCAACGAUGCGUAGCCGACCUGAGAGGGUGGUCGGCCACACUGGAACUGAGACACCGUCCAGACGCCUGCGGGAGGCCGCAGUAGGGAAUCUUCCGCAAAGGGCGAGAGCCUGACGGAGCAACGCCGCGUGAGUGAUGAAGGUCUUCGGAUCGUAAAACUCUGUUAUUAGGGAAGAACAAAUGUGUAAGUAACUAUGCACGUCUUGACGGUACCUAGUCAGAAAGCCACGGCUAACUACGUG
rnacentral:rRNA from 1 species